rnacentral:rRNA from 1 species
ACCUUCGGGUUCUAGUGGCGGACGGGUGAGUAACGCGUGAGAAUCUACCUUCUGGUCGGGGACAACCACUGGAAACGGUGGCUAAUACCGGAUGAGCCUAAGGGUAAAAGAUUAAUUGCCAGAAGAAGAGCUCGCGUCUGAUUAGCUAGUUGGUGAGGUAAGAGCUCACCAAGGCAGCGAUCAGUAGCUGGUCUGAGAGGAUGACCAGCCACACUGGGACUGAGACACGGCCCAGACUCCUACGGGAGGCAGCAGUGGGGAAUUUUCCGCAAUGGGCGAAAGCCUGACGGAGCAAGACCGCGUGAGGGAAGAAGGCUUUUGGGUUGUAAACCUCUUUUAUCAGGGAAGAAAAAAAUGACGGUACCUGAAGAAUCAGCCUCGGCUAACUCCGUGCCAGCAGCCGCGGUAAUACGGAGGAGGCAAGCGUUAUCCGGAAUUAUUGGGCGUAAAGCGUCUGCAGGUGGCUUAUCAAGUCUGCUGUCAAAGAGUGGGGCUUAACCCCAUUAAGGCAGUGGAAACUGAGAAGCUAGAGUGCCGUAGGGGUAGAGGGAAUUCCCGGUGUAGCGGUGAAAUGCGUAGAGAUCGGGAAGAACAUCGGUGGCGAAAGCGCUCUACUGGACGGCAACUGACACUCAGGGACGAAAGCUAGGGGAGCGAAUGGGAUUAGAUACCCCAGUAGUCCUAGCCGUA